GAGCGUCCGUUGCAACCUUCCCUAUUCUGAGGACUCCAGGGCUCGUUCACUUUGUCCCCAGCUAUCAACGAGAGUGGAAGUGCGCGUUUUGUACCGCGAGUUUUUUGGCUUUUUGUACAAAAUUUUCCCGUAUAGUUAUUUUGUGUGUGCGCUAGCUAAAGUAAUUUGUCGUGUGCGAACAGGAGCUAGAAGGAGAAAAGGAGUUCGCCCGUUAGCAACAGCGCUAACCAUCCCGCAGCAGCACCAGUCCAGCAGCAGCGCGAACACACGAGCAGCAGAGCAGAGGAAAACGGAGACGAAGUUCCCCGCGCACCGCACUUCUCGUUGUCGCCGCACGUCACCAGGCGAAGCACGAGGACGAAGAGCGUGAGCGCACGCUAGGAGGCGAUCCGUCACCACAUCGCCCCGGUGAAGAAGGGAGGGUCCCUGAACCACCACACGAGGACAGCGGAGAUCGUUAGUCCCGGCCGGAGUCAACCCUAAGGCCGGAGCUUCCUGUCCGGUUGCGAACGCUGACAGCCGCGGAACCGGGAAACGUCUGAACCGGCCCGAGCCACCCCGUAAGGCCGAGUCCCGCAUUCCGGUCAGCUGUUCACCAGCUGACGGCCACGUGUCGUCCCUGAGCUGAGCAACCAGCCACCAGCAGCAGAGAACAACAGCAGCUACAAGAUCAUCAUUCGGUGAGUCCGUUCUUAUUUGC